UGUCGUCAGCUCGUGUCGUGAGAUGUUGGGUUAAGUCCCGCAACGAGCGCACCCUUAUUGUUAGUUGCUACCAUUUAGUUGAGCACUCUAGCGAGACUGCCCGGGUUAACCGGGAGGAAGGUGGGGAUGACGUCAAAUCAUCAUGCCCCUUAUGUCUAGGGCUACACACGUGCUACAAUGGUCGGUACAAUGAGAUGCAACCUCGCGAGAGUGAGCAAAACUAUAAAACCGAUCUCAGUUCGGAUUGUAGGCUGAAACUCGCCUACAUGAAGCUGGAGUUGCUAGUAAUCGCGAAUCAGAAUGUCGCGGUGAAUACGUUCCCGGG
rnacentral:rRNA from 1 species